rnacentral:lncRNA from 10 species
ACAUUCUUGCCUGUGCCAUGCCCACUAAAAUUAUUGUGACCUCUUUCUGUAUCCACAUAUAGGUGAUAUAACCCUCUUCUCUGGAAUGGGCCCCACACAAAGGAAGGAUAGUGACAUAUUGCAAGCCCAGGCACACAGGCCCAGAGCACAGUUGAAAUUGUGACAUAUGUACACCAAGCAACCAAGCAAUGUAUAACACCUCAUUUGGCAAUGGAAUCGAGGGCACUUUUACAUAUCACUGAGACCAGCGCCCAGCUGAUGUGAAAUAUUGGCCUGAACCCUGCCUACAAAAGCAUUGUGGCUUUUAUCUAGCUCCAUUACAUAAGUGAUGUGACUUCCUUCUACUGCCUUGGCCCUGCACUUAUGGUGAAUCGUGACACAAAAUUGGGUAGAGCAACCAGCCUGGGCCCUGACCAGCACAGAGAUUGAGGCAUAUUGCUGAACCCAGGACCAAGAUGAAGUCACUCUCCUGCCUUGAUCCUGCACACAGGGACCCUUGUGACAUAUAUACAGGCCAAUUGCCUAGGUGAUGUUGUGCAAUAUACCUGAGACCAGAUCAAUGGCCUAAUAAUGACUCUUUUACCUAGAGCCAGGACAUGUGCAGGAUGGUAACUCUCAUCCCUGAACCUUUCCACAGGUGUUAUUGUCACAUAUACCUUUUCCAGCUCCAAAGUGAUUUAAUAAUCCAGCCUAGUUAUAGCCCACAGAUAAUAUUUGGACAUAUACCUGAGUCAAGAACCUUGGUGAUUUGACUCUCAUGUCUUAACAGUGUCCUCAGAAGGGAUCAUAACAUAUCUCUGGACCCAUCAUCUAGGUUAUGUGACUCUCUUCUCCUGCCUGAACCCUGCUUCCAGUGAAGAGUGUUGCAUUUCUAAGCACUGCAUCCAAAUGACAUGAGUUUCUU